AUUUCUGCAGCUUCACUCUUAUCUCUCUAACUCUCAAAUUCUCUCGCUAAGCUCCGAGAGCUUCUCGCCUUCAUCCUCUUGGAGUUCUUGACACAUCCAACCCCAAAAUCUUAUAUUGGAAUCUCUGAGACUCAAGGUUUUAGCCCCUGCAUUUUCUCUGUACCCUUGCCCAGUUUCUGGUGGUGGUCUUCUCUGGGCAAACUCCGACAAGUUUGUCGCCUGUGGCGCUCGAGUCUAGCUUGAACCUAUCCUAGAGUCUAACGAAGCACUCCGGCGAGUUUCUGUCGAAUCUGAGUUGGGUUUGACUCUCAUUCGCCUUAUUCUGUGUUUGGGUAAGUUCCUGAGCCUUUAGGAUAAUUUUCCUUCGAUUUAGAGCUAACAAACCUUCGAUUUGGACACGGGGGAAGGCCCUGAUCGUUUUCUGCAGAUUCUGGCAAUGGCACCAGCGACUACCAAUGGCAAUCUCCGUUGGACUUAACGGCGAUGUCAAUUGUGUCGUUAGACUUAACGGCAUAUUCUCCUCCACGUCAACUCUGUUAACUCUUUUCAGCGACGGCAAGUGCGACCUGUACUCGUUGAACCGUGACGGCAAGUAGGGUGUCGCGUUUGCUGGCGACGGCGACCACACAAGUGCGCGUGUUUUCUGGCAUGUGACGAUGCAUGGCACCACCGCGGCGGCACGUGGCCUAUGCAUGGCAGCGCGUUGCUGAAGUACGGCAAUGCAUGAUGUAGCGUCAAUAAGGAGAACCCUAGAGGUGACAAGCGGGAUUGGCAGUGAAGCGUCCAUCCUCUUUACUUUGGGUGAUGAUUCUUUACUGCAGUUUUUUCUAGUUUGUAAUAACUGUAUGAUCAUAUUUUCGAUUACGCAAAGCACUGCACUUUUAUGUGUUUACUGUUGUGUGAAACUUCUAGCUGCUCUAAUGUUAUGUGAUAGUAAUGGGAUCUUAUCCCUGUACUUGUGUCCCCAAGUGGGUAGGUUGA